rnacentral:rRNA from 1 species
UACGUAGGGGGCAAGCGUUAUCCGGAUUUACUGGGUGUAAAGGGAGCGUAGACGGCGAAGCAAGUCUGGUGUGAAACCCCGGGGCUCAACCUCGGGCCUGCAUUGGAAACUGUUUUGCUUGAGUGCCGGAGAGGUAAGCGGAAUUCCUAGUGUAGCGGUGAAAUGCGUAGAUAUUAGGAGGAACACCAGUGGCGAAGACGGCUUACUGGACGGCAACUGACGUUGAGGCUCGAAAGCGUGGGGAGCAAACAGG